AGUGAGAUAGUUGGGUCAAAUGGUCAUUUCAUUCCACAUUUUCUGAGGAAUUUCCACACUACUUCCCAUAAUGGUUGCACCAGUUUGCAGUCCCACCAGCAAU
rnacentral:pre_miRNA from 1 species